AGUUCUGUGCCCAUUCUCCUCUCUGUGGGACAAGCCAACAUCCAUGAGUCCAGAUAUCACAGAGGCCAGUCCUGGAGCUGUCUGGACAGAUUUCCUUCCAGCUAAUGUUACUGAACUCCACUGUAUGCCACGCCCUUCAGCAGGUGCAUUUUCUGAGCUAUGGCAUAGCAGCUGAGACCAUGGAUCCUUAGCUUCCCUAUCUGUGCUGGAGACCUGUCUCCUCCAGUGACGUGUCAAUAUACAGACGAUGCUUAGAAUGCUGCCUGUGCACAAUAAAUGCUCAACAAAGCCCUGCACAUGGAGCACUCGGGAGCAUUGUCACCAGGAUGACCCAAGAAUCUUCAGUUUUCAGAAGUCAAAGAAUGGACAUGUUGCCACCAGAGCCCUUUACCAAGUGAGAAGUCCUUCAAUGAAGAGAACCUGGCUUCCAGCAGCUGGAGCAGCUUAUAUUGAGUGAUUCAAGACUAGCCAGUCAGCUUUCGAGGUUAAAAUUCCCCUAACUCCUUAAAUUUCACCCAGAACCCUGGCUGCAGGAGACAGGUUUGCAAGUCUUGCUGCCUGUCUUUUUGUCAGUCGACCUCACAAUCUACUCUUUCUUUUCUCAAAAGCUAAUGCUCUGUUUCUCAUCUUCUUUGCCUUUUGAGUAGCCUAGUUUCUUACUCAGUAAUAAUUAUUGCAAAACAGGGAAGGGAAAGGAGAGGGAAAAAGAAGGAGGGGGAAGGGAGGGGGCCUGGGGCCUGAAAUUUUCCAAGCUGUCUCUCUGUGGCUCUGUUGUGUGAGAGAAACCUUAGUCUAAAGAACACUCAUUGCCACCUCCCAAAGGAAAAGGGGGUCAGAAUGCUGUCUGC
rnacentral:lncRNA from 1 species